CCACUAGGCACCUGGCUGAACUUUAGAAACAUCUCAUCUGUGGGAACAAAAGAGACAGAAGCCCCCUAUCUGUGGAACAAGAAGAAAUAACUCAAAGUAUCCAAAUGUCUAAACCCUGAGUCAGAACCGAGAGAAACCUUAGGAUAAAACGGAGUCACAGGCAUGGAACAAUUGGGAGUCUCACUGAGGAAAGGACGCUUUGCCUCAGACCCGGACAAUCGGCACUCCAGCCCGCAUACAAACUGUUGGGACUUCCCCGGCUGACUGUGGUGUGGAUGUGGUAAGUUCUGAUUUGUUGUUCCCCUUUAUCCAUGCUCCUCAUUCUGUUUCCCUUUAUCAAUAAACUUUGAUUGCUUAAACAACCAAGUAGCCUUGGCGGUACCUGUCAGUCCUUGCCCUUUGUGGCUGCAGACAACAUGUGGUUCAGAAGAUUGCAGCUGACUCUGACCUGGAUCAUAUGGCUGAUAUCCCUGUUCCUGUGCACUAGAUUGUGUUGAGUCCUUUGGUACAAAGAGAGUAAAUAAACCAGGCAUGAUGUACUCCAGGAUGCCUGUGUUGGUCUCACCAGCAAUCAGAACUUUUGUCAAUAAAUGGCUUAUGCGAGACUUUGUACCAUGUGAAGGUGUAGAGCAUGACAUAAAUAGAUAGACAGAUGGAUAGAUAAACCAUCAGAUGUAAACACGCAUAUAUAGAGACAUAGGUGAGGUGAAGAACCCAGACUACAUAGUGUGUAGCUAUCAGGUGCUAUAUCAUACUCUGAUGACAGUCUUUUCCCAUCCUUUUAUUUUCAACUUUCUGAAUCAUUCUGAUCUAGGUAUAUCUCUUCUAAACAGAAGAUACCAGAGUUUUCACUUAUCACCUAAUUUUAAAAAAAUAUUCUCUCAUUUACAGUAUUUUCAGGUUUACAAAAUAAUUGAACAGAAAGUGCAAAGAGUUCUUACAUACCCCUUCUCCCUCACCAACAGUUUCCCCUAAUGGUAACAUCUUAAAUUGGUGUGGUAAAUUUAAUACCAUAGUUUAUGUUAGGGUUUACUUUUUGUGUUGUACACUUCUGUGAAUUUGAGAAAUGCAUAAUGUCAUGUAUCCACCUUACAGUAUCAUACAAAAUAAUUCCAAGGCCCUAAAAUUCGCUUUCUUCCACCUAUGCGUUCCUUUCCACUUCACCAUGAGCCCUUGGUAAGCACUGAUUAUUUUACUGUAUCAAUAGCUUUUCCUUUUACAAAAUGUCAUCUGUAAGUGUCAACAAAGAUCUCUGUACCAGAAUUCAGCGAGGAAGGCUUUAGUCUCCGGAACACCGGAAUCCAGUGAGGAAGGCUUUAGUCUCAGGAACACCGGAAUCCAGUGAGGAAGGCUUUAGUCUCAGGAACACCGGAAUCCAGUGAGGAAGGCUUUAGUCUCAGGAACACCGGAAUCCAGUGAGGAAGGCUUUAGUCUCCGGAACACCGGAAUUCAGUGAGGAAGGCUUUAUUCUCAGGAACACCGGAAUUCAGCGAGGAAGGCUUUAGUCUCUGGAACACCAGAAUUCAGUGAGAAAGGCUUUAGUCUCUGGAAUACCAGAAUCCAGUGAGGAAGGCUUUAUUGCUCGCAAAGUUUGAAAACUUGGGACGCUGUAGCCGUCAGCAGCAAACUGAAAGUCUGCUCUUCGAGAACAAAGACUGGGGGCUGCCUUUAUAGAAAAAGUCUCCAGGGGGGCCAGUGCUGAGUGGUUAAGUUCAGGGCUCCGCUCUGGCAGCCCAGGGUUUGGCAGCCAGUUUGGAUCCUGUGUGGGCAUAGCACGACUCAUAGUGCCAUCCUGAGGCAGCGUCCCACAUAGAGGAACUAGAGGGACCUACAACUAGAAUAGACAACUAUGUCCUGGGGCUUUGGGGAGAAGAAGGAAAAAAAUAAAGAUUGGCAACAGGUGUUAGCUCAGGGCCAAAAAAAAAGAAAAAGUAAAAGUUCCACAGAGGUUCCCAG
rnacentral:lncRNA from 1 species